rnacentral:rRNA from 1 species
UACAGAGGUCCCAAGCGUUGUUCGGAUUCACUGGGCGUAAAGGGUGCGUAGGCGGUCGGGUAAGUCUGAUGUGAAAUCUCCAAGCUCAACUUGGAAAUGGCAUCGGAUACUAUUCGGCUCGAGGAAUGGAGGGGAGACUGGAAUACUUGGUGUAGCAGUGAAAUGCGUAGAUAUCAAGUGGAACACCAGUGGCGAAGGCGAGUCUCUGGACAUUUCCUGACGCUGAGGAGCGAAAGCGUGGGGAGCGAACAGG